CCCUGGCCGUUGACGCCCGCUGGCUCCGGACUGGGAUCGCGGCCCCCGCCACCCUCGCCUCGCGCUCUGCCGCGGCCCGAGCUGCUGCCCCGCUCGUCCUCUGCCUGCUGCCACGCGCGAAACCCCCAACUCAACAGACCCUCCAGCCACUGCACACUCGCGAGCACUCCCUCAACGCGCACACACAACCGCCGAACACCCACUCGCGCGCCCACCCGUUCUCACGCACGUGUCACACACGCGCACCCCGCAGUCUUCGUCCCUCGGGGCAACUACACAACCUGGAUAACAGUGAAAACAGUAACUAGUCCAGUCUGAACCCCGCUUCCUUGAGGAAUCCUUCCUACCCGCCACCACAUGGAAGAACUAGUUGGAACUUGGGAAGAACAGACAUCGUCACGAGGCCCAGGGUUAUCAUCCAUACCAUCACUUGGUGACUGGGAAUGUACAUUGGUCUUAUCCAGAGGUUACAUGCUGUGCGAUAUCACAACAGAUUGGGUGCAGAAGUAGAUACGAGAACCCACUUGUUCUCUAUUAAGAAAGACAUUACAGGACUUCCCUGGUGGCGCAGUGGUUAAGAAUCUGCCUGCCAAUGCAGGGGACACGGGUUCGAGCCCUGGUCCGGAAAGAUCCCACAUGCCGUGGAACAGCUAAGCCCGUGCGCCACAACUACUGGCUCCAGAGCCCGCAAGCCACAACUACUGAAGCCCACGCCCUGGAGCCCAUGCUCCACAACAAGAGAAGCCACCACAAUGAGAAGCCCGCGCACCACAAUGAAGAGAGUAGCCGCCCACUCACCGCAACUAGAGAAAGCCUGCCCGCAGCAACGAAGACCCAACGCAGCCAAAAAUAAAUAAAUAAAAUUUUAAAAAAGACAUUACAGAGAUUUGUAAAAAAAAAAAGGAAAACAAUGCCAC